rnacentral:rRNA from 1 species
AGUGGCGAACGGGUGAGUAACACGUGGGUAACCUGCCCAUCAGAAGGGGAUAACACUUUGGAAACAGGUGCUAAUACCGUAUAACACUAUUUUCCGCAUGGAAGAAAGUUGAAAGGCGCUUUUGCGUCACUGAUGGAUGGACCCGCGGUGCAUUAGCUAGUUGGUGAGGUAACGGCUCACCAAGGCAACGAUGCAUAGCCGACCUGAGAGGGUGAUCGGCCACACUGGGACUGAGACACGGCCCAGACUCCUACGGGAGGCAGCAGUAGGGAAUCUUCGGCAAUGGACGAAAGUCUGACCGAGCAACGCCGCGUGAGUGAAGAAGGUUUUCGGAUCGUAAAACUCUGUUGUUAGAGAAGAACAAGGAUGAGAGUAAAAUGUUCAUCCCUUGACGGUAUCUAACCAGAAAGCCACGGCUAACUACGUGCCAGCAGCCGCGGUAAUACGUAGGUGGCAAGCGUUGUCCGGAUUUAUUGGGCGUAAAGCGAGCGCAGGCGGUUUCUUAAGUCUGAUGUGAAAGCCCCCGGCUCAACCGGGGAGGGUCAUUGGAAACUGGGAGACUUGAGUGCAGAAGAGGAGAGUGGAAUUCCAUGUGUAGCGGUGAAAUGCGUAGAUAUAUGGAGGAACACCAGUGGCGAAGGCGGCUCUCUGGUCUGUAACUGACGCUGAGGCUCGAAAGCGUGGGGAGCGAACAGGAUUAGAUACCCUGGUAGUCCACGCCGUAAACGAUGAGUGCUAAGUGUUGGAGGGUUUCCGCCCUUCAGUGCUGCAGCAAACGCAUUAAGCACUCCGCCUGGGGAGUACGACCGCAAGGUUGAAACUCAAAGGAAUUGACGGGGGCCCGCACAAGCGGUGGAGCAUGUGGUUUAAUUCGAAGCAACGCGAAGAACCUUACCAGGUCUUGACAUCCUUUGACCACUCUAGAGAUAGAGCUUCCCCUUCGGGGGCAAAGUGACAGGUGGUGCAUGGUUGUCGUCAGCUCGUGUCGUGAGAUGUUGGGUUAAGUCCCGCAACGAGCGCAACCCUUAUUGUUAGUUGCCAUCAUUUAGUUGGGCACUCUAGCGAGACUGCCGGUGACAAACCGGAGGAAGGUGGGGAUGACGUCAAAUCAUCAUGCCCCUUAUGACCUGGGCUACACACGUGCUA